rnacentral:rRNA from 1 species
GACGAACGCUGGCGGCGUGCUUAACACAUGCAAGUCGAACGAUGAAGCCGGAGCUUGCUCUGGUGAAUUAGUGGCGAACGGGUGAGUAACACGUGAGUAACCUGCCCUUGACUCUGGGAUAACUGCUAGAAAUGGUAGCUAAUACCGGAUACGACCCUCGGCGGCAUCGCCAGGGGGUGGAAAGAAUUUCGGUCAAGGAUGGACUCGCGGCCUAUCAGCUAGUUGGUGAGGUAACGGCUCACCAAGGCGACGACGGGUAGCCGGCCUGAGAGGGUGACCGGCCAAACGUGGAGGGAGACACUGCCCAACCUCCUACGGGAGGCAGCAGUGGGGAAUAUUGCACAAUGGGCGCAAGCCUGAUGCAGCAACGCCGCGUGAGGGAUGACGGCCUUCGGGUUGUAAACCUCUUUUAGUAGGGAAGAAGCGAAAGUGACGGUACCUGCAGAAAAAGCACCGGCUAACUACGUGCCAGCAGCCGCCGUAA